CGGCUCACGAGCCCAACCUGCCCGGGUUUAUUGUUCGGAGUUUGCUCUCCUAGGUGAAUUGCCUACCACGGCUAACGAACCUCACCUGCCCGGGUUUAUUGUUCGGAGUUUGCUCUCCUAGGUGUAUUACCUAUGACGGCUCACGAGCCCAACCUGCCCGGGUUUGUUGUUCGGAGUUUGCUCUCCUAGGUGAAUUGCCUACCACGGCUAACGAACCUCACCUGCCCGGGUUUGUUGUUCGGAGUUUGCUCUCCUAGGUGAAUUGCCUACCACGGCUAACGAACCUCACCUGCCCGGGUUUGUUGUUC